rnacentral:rRNA from 1 species
UACGGGGGAGCAAGCGUUGUUCGGAUUUACUGGGCGUAAAGGGCGCGUAGGCGGCGCAACAAGUCACUUGUGAAAUCUCCGGGCUUAACUCGGAAAGGUCAAGUGAUACUGUUGUGCUAGAGUGCGGAAGGGGCAACUGGAAUUCUCGGUGUAGCGGUGAAAUGCGUAGAUAUCGAGAGGAACACCUGCGGCGAAGGCGGGUUGCUGGGCCGACACUGACGCUGAGACGCGAAAGCGUGGGGAGCAAACAGG